rnacentral:rRNA from 1 species
UACGUAGGGGUGCGAGCGUUUGUCCGGAAUUAUUGGGGCGUAAAGAGCUCGUAGGCGGUCUGUCGCGUCGGAUGGUGAAAGCCCAGGGCUUAACCCCGGGUCUGCAUUCGAUACGGGCAGACUAGAGUGUGGUAGGGGAGAUCGGAAUUCCCGUGUGAGCGGUGAAAUGCGCAGAUAUCAGGAGGAACACCGGUGGCGAAGGCGGGUCUCUGGGCGACAACUGACGCUGAGGUGCGAAAGCGUGGGGAGCAAACAGG